rnacentral:rRNA from 1 species
GACGAACGCUGGCGGCGUGCUUAACACAUGCAAGUCGUACGGUAAGGCCCUUUCGGGGGUACACGAGUGGCGAACGGGUGAGUAACACGUGAGUAACCUGCCCACAACUUUGGGAUAACGCUAGGAAACUGGUGCUAAUACUGGAUAUGUGCUGCUGCUGCAUGGUGGGGGUUGGAAAGCUCCGGCGGUUGUGGAUGGACUCGCGGCCUAUCAGCUUGUUGGUGGGGUAGUGGCCUACCAAGGCGGCGACGGGUAGCCGGCCUGAGAGGGUGACCGGCCACAUUGGGACUGAGAUACGGCCCAGACUCCUACGGGAGGCAGCAGUGGGGAAUAUUGCACAAUGGGCGCAAGCCUGAUGCAGCAACGCCGCGUGCGGGAUGACGGCCUUCGGGUUGUAAACCGCUUUCAGCAGGGACGAAGCUUUUUGUGACGGUACCUGCAGAAGAAGCACCGGCUAACUACGUG